CUUCUCCUUAUACGAACAGUCUCAGUGAAUUAAUUUCUCCAUGAUUUAUAAGCAGAACAUAUCCCAUUUCGCUCUAAUCUUUCAUGCUCUCCCGUCUCCCUCUCCAUGGCAUUUUCUGAAAAGAAAAUAAUUGUUCUUUUCUCCCCUACAGCGGCUGUGGCCAGAGGCCAGGUACAGCAGGAGCCGUCACUGGAGACCACCGAGGGCACCGGAGUAAACAUCAGCUGCUCACACUCCAACAUAGGGACAGGAGAUACGAUCGCGUGGUACCGUCAGCUCCCGGAGAAGGGCCCGGAGUUCCUCGGCAGCGUUCACAAAGAGUUCAGAGAGCUGCCGGACAUUGCAGGACAGCUCUGGGUGUCGGCAGAUCGGCGUUCGAGCGCGCUGUGGCUCAGGCGGCCCCGGCGCGGGGACGCGGCCGUGUAUUACUGCGCGCUGGUGGCACGGGCAGAGGAGCCGGGGCUGCGGCCGGGCACGAACCGGGGCGGGCGGGGCCCGCAGGGGCCGGGGGCACAGCGCCGCCCGCGGCCAGCAGGGGGCGCUGCCGCUCCGCCCGCCGGGCCCCAGGCGGCUCCGCAGCUCCUUCAGUGCCCCGAGCCCGCGCACAGCGACAGCGCCCAGCCCGCCACGGUAAAGAACCUCUGA